GGUCGCUUAGCUCAGUUGGUUAGAGCGUGGUGCUAAUACCUUGUAUGAUACGCCAAGGUCGCGAGUUCGACCCUCGUAGUGACCA
rfam:Setosphaeria turcica Et28A unplaced genomic scaffold SETTTscaffold_13, whole genome shotgun sequence.